rnacentral:rRNA from 1 species
UACGUAGGGGGCAAGCGUUGUCCGGAAUCAUUGGGCGUAAAGAGCGUGUAGGCGGCCCGAUAAGUCCGCUGUGAAAGUCCAGGGCUCAACCCUGGAAUGCCGGUGGAUACUGUCGGGCUCGAAUCCGGAAGAGGUGAGUGGAAUUCCUGGUGUAGCGGUGAAAUGCGCAGAUAUCAGGAGGAACACCGGUGGCGAAGGCGGGUCUCUGGGCCGACAUUGACGCUGAGGAGCGAAAGCGUGGGGAGCGAACAGG